UGUGAGUGCCUUUUUAAAGGCCUGGUUUCUUCCAGAGCAAGGAUCAGCCAGGUGCCUGGAUCUGACCCAUGAACAAUAGAAAGGGACAAAGGAAAAUCUGUAACAGAACUUAUCUCACUUAACACCUGUCUGAUUCCACCAUUUCUUCUAUGUGAACACUACCAGCUCCUUCAGACUUGUUUCUUCUGCUGUGGUAGAGCCUUAACAGCCUUCUAAAGCAUAACAACAAAAGUGCAGGACCUUAACAUCUUUGAGACAGCUGUCAAGUGUGAGUUCACUUUUGAAGCCAUACUUCCUAAGGAUUUUACGUCUGCUGGCACUCGACAAAAAGGGAGGAAUUGAAGCUGCUCACCAUUCUCAGUGCUUCCUCUGGACUACAAGCUAAGUCUCAAAGGGGUCUCACAAGCUCAUCUUGUUUCUUCACCCACCCCAGAGCAGGAUUAACUACACCUGUUUGUCUAACCUUUUACGAAAACCUCCCUUUGAUGGAAACAUCACUAUCUCCCCAGGCAAUUCAUUCAAUACCCCUGCAGCUACAAAAUUUGUCCAUGCUGUUUAACCUAUAUUUCAUUUGGUAUACUUUAGGUAUAUCUUUGUCUGCCCUGAUUGAAGGGAUCAUGGCUGCACAGACUGCUCUCUUCCAUUUGCUGUUUUUGUAACUAAUAGGCUAUGUAUUGACUCUUUUCUGGGUUAUGUACUUUUCUGGGCUAAGCCAGUCCUUACAC